GUGGAUCUCAGCAUUUCUUUAAUGCUAGUUCUUUGAUGAAAAGGUUGGUUUGUAAUUUAAAAUUUUCAGUGGUCCAUUCCAGCUGAUUUCCUUAGUGUUCGUUGUUUGGGACAGCUCGUUGGUCAAUCUGGUAAAGGAGGAAUGAUUGUGUGUUCAAUGAUGAUGGAGUCCCAAAAGAGAGCUUAGUGAGUUUUAUUUUAAAUAGAGUGCUUGUUUUUAAUUCUGCUGUUGUGAAGGUUGCGCAGGUGAAUGAUGUGCAAGGGAGGAAGAAAGUUGAUUAGGUUCGUUGGUGCCCCGCUGAGCAUUCAUGGUUUAGUUUGAAUACUGAUGGAGCAGUGUGUAGAAGUAAUGGUGUAGCUUCUGGUGGAGGGUUGAUAAGGGAUUCAAGUGGUGCUCGAGUGGCGGGAAUCUUAGCUAAUCUUGGGAGAUUAUCUGUUGCACGUGCUGAGCUGAAGGCUAUGCUGAAAGGGCAAAGUCUGCUGUGGGCUUUGGGGUUGAAUAAAGUGGUGGUGCAAUGCGAUAGUGCAGCUGCGGUUCAAUCUGUUACCUCAUCUUCUGGGUAGUUACAGAGUGCACAGCCCUGAUUCACGCUAUUAAGAGUUAUAUUGACAAAGACUGGGUUGUUAAAGUGAAUUUCGUCUUUAGAGAGGCUAAUUAUGUUGCUGAUUGCUUGGCUCAAAUGGCAAGGAGUUGGGCAUUUGGAACCAGUCAUAUUUUUUAGCCUCCUGCAGAGCUGGUCCCUAGUUUAUUCAUGAUUUCAUUGGAGUUACCUAUCUCAGCAUGAUGUAGUGUAGUCUAUUUGUAGUUACAUCUUGUUUCAACCG
rnacentral:misc_RNA from 1 species